CCGCUGAACUUAAGCAUAUCAAUAAGCGGAGGAAAAGAAACCAACAGGGAUUGCCUCAGUAACUGCGAGUGAAGCGGCAAAAGCUCAAAUUUGAAAUCUGGUACCUUUGGGUGCCCGAGUUGUAAUUUGGAGAGGCAACUUCGAAGGAGGCGCUGGCCUAAGUUCCUUGGAACAGGACGUCACAGAGGGUGAGAAUCCCGUGCUUGGCUGGCUGUCCUCCUUCAUGUGAAGUGUCUUCGACGAGUCGAGUUGUUUGGGAAUGCAGCUCAAAAUGGGUGGUAAACUCCAUCUAAGGCUAAAUAUUGGCGAGAGACCGAUAGCGCACAAGUAGAGUGAUCGAAAGAUGAAAAGCACUUUGAAAAGAGAGUUAAACAGUACGUGAAAUUGUUGAAAGGGAAGCGCUUGAGACCAGACUCGGUGAUAGGUGAUCAGCGGUUGCUUUUGCUCCGUGCACUUGCCUUUUACUGGGCCAGCAUCAGUUGCGACGGUGGGAUAAAGACUCAGGGAAUGUGGCUCUCUUUGGGGAGUGUUAUAGCCCUGGGUGUAAUGCCACCUGUUGCGACUGAGGACCGCGCU
rnacentral:rRNA from 1 species